CCUGUGAAGUUCAUCAUCCAUCUUCUUUGAUUUCUUCGUUAGGUGACGAACUUUUCUUCUCAGAUUUUGGAUCAUGGACUUUAGAGGAAUCUCCUGCGAUAGGGGAAGAGCUUCGACAGGGCACUAUUAUCGGGAAAUAAGAGUGUCACAACAUAAAUCAUUGCAAAAAAAAAAGAAGGAGAGAAAGAAGCUCUCUGUAAAGAG
rnacentral:lncRNA from 1 species